AUAUAUUUUAUUUUAUUUUCAAUAAUUUUCUUUGUUUUAUUUAAUCAUUAUUUAGAUACUGAUCAAAUAAUUAUAGACAAAAAUGAUAUAAUAAUAAUUAUUAUUGUUAUUUAUUGUAUAAAUAAAUGCAUUUUAUAUAACUUAUGUUUUAAAUACUUUUUUCUGUGUAUAACAUAAGAUACAUUAAAUGUUGAACUUUUUAGUUUGUUGAUAAGGGAAAAGUACGAUUUUGUUCAAAAAUGGCCCAAUGGCCAACUUGUUAGAGGCAACAAUACUCCACAAAGCGGAACUUGAAGUAAUUAAAGUGAUUGGAAAAUUUGGAAUUGCGUUUAUAAGCUAGUUAUUGUUUCACUUUUUUUUUUUAAAUUUAGUUUUAAUUCUAGUUAUUAGGUUCUUGUGUUACCUAGUUAUUAAUUAUGUAUAGAUUUAUUUGUUUGUUUUAUCACAUUCUUAAUCUUUAUAACUAUUAAAUACUAUUUUUUUUUUAUCUUUUAUGUUUAUUUACGCAGAAUUAAUAUUAUAGUAUGUAGUUUUAUGCAUGCCGAUAGAUAAUAAUCAUCAACAAAAUGUAAUUCGUGACACUACUGUUCAGUGAUAAAUAUAGCAUUGCAUAGAUUCUAGCAAUAACCAAAAUAUCAAACAUAAAGAGAGUUACUAGACGAUGACGAAUUUCAGGUUUUAGUGAGAUAGUUUGUCGAGUUACAUAGCAGUAAAGUUGUGAAGAUAACUAUUUAAAUUUUGAAUGUGACAUAAAAAAUGGAAUCAUUAGAUAUCAAGGCUAACCUAGGUUAGCAAGUAGAUUUGGACAUGGAAGCUACAGACUCGCGGAGGAAUUAUGGGUGGCAGCACGAACCAAAUAGCCAGUAUAACUAGAUCAGAAAUUUAUCGUCACCCUUACAAAUCAUGAAAACUCAACUCGACCGUAAACAGAAAAUACCGAAAAAUACUACCUACUUCCCGAUGUUUACAAGUUACAUAGCAACUGAAAAAUAUUAAAUAUGACUGAACAAUAAUAUAAAAUAUGCAGAUUUGAACGAGCCUCAGAUAGCAUGAUUCAGGCAUGAGAAAUAUUCCAAUGAGCCAGACACAACAUACAAGAGUAUGCACUUUAUCACCCGAUGAAGUCAUCAAACAAAAUAAUAAUGUUAUAUUGCAUAAAAUUACCAAAAAUUCUUAGACAACAAGACCAAACGAAAUAUUAAAUAAAUACUACACCCUACACUCCUACUAACUACAACCACUAACAAACAUCUUAAGCUCAAAGUAUUGAUCGUCAACGACUCAAACUCUAAACUAAAAUAGUGUGAUUAAAAGUGAUCUGCAUCUUCGAACAUACGAAAAAUGACUAUACAAGCUCCAUAAACGACUAGUUAGUGUUUUCUUGGUUCCUACCCAAAGAAAUUCACUACCAAAAUUUUAUCUAUUGUAAAAUAAUUUAUGAUUUACGUACGCAAUGUUUAUAUCUUCUUUCUUUCAUCUCAUACUCACACCCUUAAAAUUUGCACAGCAAACUCAAAAAAUUUGAAUAUAAGAUUUUAAAUCUCAUUAAUAAA